AGCCAAGAAAAAUUCUGCAAUUUAUAUUUAUAGAAAGUUGAAAUGACGUAUUUAAAUAAAAAUAUUAAUUUUUGUUGUCUAUAGUAUGUAUGUGGGCAAUUAUAUUAUUUUUCUUUUAUCCCGACACACACAAUCAGUUCUGUCUCAUCAGAUCCUGAAGAAAAUGCAAGACAGUUUGAUGUAGAGAUUUUCACUGUCACAUCACUCAAUGCUACUAAUGCUUCCUCAGCCUGCUGUAUGAAGAAAGAGAUACAAGUGUAAGCUGAGAAUAUAAUAAUAUUAGUUCAAUUGAGAAGCCAUCUACUGGUUUUAUCUGAAUCAAAGGAACAAGGAUAAAAAAUUAAGACGAAAGACAGAGGGAGUAAGGUUGACAAAGAAGAGGGAAUUUAAAUCACAACUGACUGAAAUUAGUUUCAUGU